rnacentral:tRNA from 1 species
UACUCGCUUGGUGAAAAAAGGUAAACACGAUGGAUUUAAAAUUCAUUCUUAUAAAAAAGUUAUUGGUUCAAAUCCAAUAGUGAGUAU